rnacentral:lncRNA from 1 species
UGAAUCUCCUUGUUCGUGACUUAAUCACCACUGUUUACAAUUGUUGUGAGCGCAACCGUGAUGGAUUACUUCAAGUCUCUGAAGAUAUGCUGUCGGGCAUCAUCAGAUCAAAUCUGCCACAGCCUCUGAAAAUGUGGGUUGUGUACACAACGAUCUCAUACUUAAGAACAAUGCUGAGUUCGAACAUGCAGAGGUCAAGUGAGACAGUCAGAGAGCGGGCUGCCCAUCAGUCGUCGACCAGUGCGACCAUCUCCAGUGCUGCAGCAGCAACUCCUAGCAGAGAAUCGCCUGCAGCUGCAUCGGCUCCGGUUAAUGAUGUUCCUGUUCCCACCAUUCCUAGAUCUGCUCCUGCGCCUGAGCGCAUGGAAAGUGAAAGUAUUGAAGCAGAGCUCCCACCACUCAACUCUAGUUUACCGAAUGAGCCUUUACCAGAAGUAUCGAUAGGCUCUGAGGGCUGGCACAAUCACCUGCGUCGUCAGGAUCUUCAAGAAUGGGUGCCGAUUAUCACACGCGAUGCUCAGUAUCAACGUAGACAAAGUCCACAAAGACCAUUCAGCGAUGCUUAUUUAUCUGGUAUGCCAAACAACGCAGGCGGCUUAUCACUGCAACCAAACCACAGUCCAGUCGUGUUUCUCAAUUCAUUUCAGAAUCCCUUGAAAGGGCAAUAACCUCUGCAGACGUAGGCACUAGCUCUGUCACAAGCUCUGUAGUCCAACAUGCCGCUGUGGACCCAACAUUACGCUCUGCGUACGUACAACAGCUACGGUCAAGAACAGACCUAAGCUCAAAUCCAGAUUUUAACCCUAGUAAAUAUCCCAACGCUUCUAAUUACUUUAAGAAAAAAUAAGCGUUCUUGUAACAUUGUAAUAUUAGAAUCAAUUGUCUUAGUGUUGCAGACAGGGCUCAAAGGCUCGUGUGUUCUCGUUAAAUAGCACAAUGCUGCACUGCAGGUACGUUUGUUGUGUAUGUGAUAUUUGUCUUUUAAGUGCCACGAUUUUAAGGAAGGUGUCUGUUAACGGUUGAUGUAAAAUACUAACGAGAUUUUUGCAAAGUUCCAUCUGAUAAAAAAUUCCUACUUUGAGUGGAGAAACGUAAACCAAUAGUUACAUUGAAAGAGCCAAUGUUCCUAUUUUUUUCUGCCAUGGUGCUUACUAUCAAUGGUAAAUCUUUUUAAUUUUGCAUAGCACAGAGGAGCUUUAAAACUAAAUUUCGAGUGGAAAGUGAAAUUCUACAUUAUAAUUUGUUGUUCAAGAUGUUUACUUCGAUCAGCAUCGUUCUCAAUGCAAAAAUGUUGUUGUGUGAGGAACUGCACUAGUUUCAUGUAAACAAUUUAAAAUGAUGUAGUCAUAACAAAAUGCCAAUUAUAAACCCUAUAUAAACUCCAUCAAAUUAGGCGUUUUGUUUGUACUCUUAAUGUCGGUUGAACUUUUUUGUUGCAAGAACAUUCUAUUGACUUCUCCAUCAUCAUUUUAUUAGAGUCUAGCCAGGUGAGCGGUAUUUCUGAUACAUGUUCAUAAUCGCUAUCUGAGUCUCCAAAGCAUUUAAGAAAUUUUCAAUUAUACUGCCGUAUUCCUCUUUUUUACUGUUGAUUUGUAUGUAGUAGUUGCUUGUUCAAUCCUGUGUAGAUAACAAAACGCAUGACUGCAGAGAAAUACUUUUGUGUAGUCAAUCGCAUCUUUUUUUUUUUUUAUUUUUUUAAAUGUGGAUCCAUAUCGCCGGUGAAAGUUUCAGCGUAGUUUUUUGUCCGAUUUGUCAUCACUCUUGCCGCUCAAACAUAGUAUUGCACUUCUAAGGCUGGCUGUAUUAUUUUUGGUGCUGGCCAAUUCCGUGCAAAAUUUUUUAGUUGAGUGUGGAAAUGAAUUCACCUAUAGAGAGUAUCUUCUGUUUCUGACAUACCGGAGUUAAUAUUCAAAGUCCCCGGUUUCGUUUUGUUCUCAGCUUUUUCAUGGGCUGUCAAUUUGUCGGUCCUUUAAUUGUUAUCUCUGUGUAAUCAUUUUAAAGUGUUAAUCCAAGAAUUUCAGCUUUUUAUUUGAUUCUUAGAGUUUUCGGACAGGUUUAAUCUAGUACCAACUAAUGAUGUACUAUUUAUUCAGUGGACUGCAAGGUGAAAAUUUAAUGCCACUUUAAUACUAUACUUAUGUAUGUAUCAUUGUUGAAAUUUGGCUUUUUAAACAAGAUUUUGAAGCUAGUUUCUGAAAGUUUUUUUUUUUUUUUUUUUUUUUCAUUUUAACUAAUUCAUGUAGCGUUUAAUGUUAUAAGAGGGUGGAAGAUUAGCAGCUCAUGUUUUUCAGCAGGGUGCUCACAGAUAAAGAAAAUCAGAAACUGUCAGGGAAUUUCAUCAGGUCAAGGAAAUCAGGGAAAAGUCAGGGAAUUUUAUGAAUUAGACUCAAAAUUCUGAAAAUACUGUCCGACUUAUCGAACUGAUUCUCACAAUCCGUUUCAGGUUCAAUGCUCUGGAUUACCCUCUGAGUAGUGAAUAGAGAAGGGUUUUUCUAUGAGGAAUUGAAAGGUUAAUCAAUUUUGAAUGAUCAAUACCUGAAGAAAAAAGGUUCAAAUUUUUUUUUUUUUUUUUUUUUUUUUUUUUGUCAUUUCGUUUCUUAUAAGUUCCACACAGGCAAAAUGUGGAUGUGAAAAGUCAGGAAAUUUUAUCAUUUUAGUCAAGGAGAACCUGGAAGUCAGGGAAUUCUUUCUUCUUGAGUCUAUAGAAACCCUGAAAGACCUUCAGACCAUUGCUUCUUUAAAGACAGUUGGCCCGUUUUUUUCUAAGUGUAGCAGUAUUUUUGCUGUCACAUCAACAGUUCGUUUGCAGUCUCUUUGUAAGCUGGUCAAAUUUUCAGUUUGCGGUUCUAUUUGUAGCAUUACCGGAAAGUGUCAUUACAAUCUAAACUUAUUUAUCUGUGAACAAGUUAAGAACGUAGACCAAAUUUGUACUCACAAUUUUGAUUUUAAGAUGUGAAUUGAUCCCUAGUGAUUAGAAAAAAUUUCUAGUGGUCAGAAAAAAUUUCAGGUGUCUUACUUUCUUUAGAUUUAUGAGCAGAUGAACCCUCUCAAUUUUACUGCGUAUUUGUAUCAUUGACAUUUUUUUUUAAUGCUCAUACCUUUUAUUAAUUUAGUCGAAAGGUCAAACUUUUUAACAGAGCUUCAAUAAAUUUUCACUUCAAUCACUUUGUCUCGGAU